UAGGGAAUCUUCCACAAUGGACGCAAGUCUGAUGGAGCAACGCCGCGUGAGUGAAGAAGGUUUUCGGAUCGUAAAGCUCUGUUGUUGGUGAAGAAGGAUAGAGGCAGUAACUGGUCUUUAUUUGACUGUAAUCAACCAGAAAGUCACGGCUAACUACGUGCCAGCAGCCGCAGUAAUACGUAGGUGGCAAGCGUUGUCCGGAUUUAUUGGGCGUAAAGCGAGCGCAGGCGGAAUGAUAAGUCUGAUGUGAAAGCCCACGGCUCAACCGUGGAACUGCAUCGGAAACUGUCAUUCUUGAGUGCAGAAGGAGAGAGUGGAAUUCCAUGUGUAGCGGUGGAAUGCGUAGAUAUAUGGAAGAACACCAGUGGCGGAGGCGGCUCUCUGGUCUGCAACUGACGCUGAGGCUCGAAAGCAUGGGUAGCGAACAGG
rnacentral:rRNA from 1 species